GCCAAAGAGAGUAAUAGCCUCGUAUUUGAAAUAUUCUUUAUACCUAGCAGUAUCCUGAGUACGGCGAGACACGCGAAAUCUCGUCGGAAUCCGGGAGGACCAUCUCCCAACCCUAAAUACUCUCUAGUGACCGAUAGUGAACCAGUACCGUGAGGGAAAGGUGAAAAGUACCCCGGAAGGGGAGUGAAAUAGAACCUGAAACCGUGUGCCUACAACAAGUUCGAGCCCGUUAAUGGGUGAGAGCGUGCCUUUUGUAGAAUGAACCGGCGAGUUACGAUAUGAUGCGAGGUUAAGUUGAAGAGACGGAGCCGUAGGGAAACCGAGUCUUAAUAGGGCGGAUUAGUAUUAUGUCGUAGACCCGAAACCAUGUGACCUACCCAUGAGCAGGUUGAAGGUGCGGUAAGACGCACUGGAGGACCGAACCAGGGCACGUUGAAAAGUGCUUGGAUGACUUGUGGGUAGCGGAGAAAUUCCAAACGAACUUGGAGAUAGCUGGUUCUCUCCGAAAUAGCUUUAGGGCUAGCGUCGACAUUUGAGAAUCUUGGAGGUAGAGCACUGUUUGGAUGAGGGGGCCAUCUCGGUUUACUGAUUUCAGAUAAACUCCGAAUGCCAAUGAUUUAUGGUCGGCAGUCAGACUGCGAGUGCUAAGAUCCGUAGUCGAAAGGGAAACAGCCCAGACCACCAGCUAAGGUCCCAAAAUAAUUGUUAAGUGGAAAAGGAUGUGGGGUUGCACAGACAACUAGGAUGUUAGCUUAGAAGCAGCUAUUCAUUCAAAGAGUGCGUAAUAGCUCACUAGUCGAGUGACCCUGCGCCGAAAAUGUACCGGGGCUAAAACAAUUUACCGAAGCUGUGGAUAACACUUUAGUGUUAUGGUAGGAGAGCGUUCUAUGUGUGAAGAAGGUAUACCGUGAGGAGUGCUGGAACGCAUAGAAGUGAGAAUGCCGGUAUGAGUAGCGAAAGAUGGGUGAGAAUCCCAUCCACCGUAAGACUAAGGUUUCCAGGGGAAGGCUCGUCCGCCCUGGGUUAGUCGGGACCUAAGGAGAGACCGAAGGGUGUAUCCGAUGGACAACAGGUUGAUAUUCCUGUACUAGAGUAUGAAGUGAUGGAGGGACGCAGUAGGCUAACUAAAGCGGGCGAUUGGAAGUGCCCGUCUAAGCAGUGAGGUGUGAUAUGAGUCAAAUGCUUGUAUCUGUAACAUUGAGCUGUGAUGGGGAGCGAAGUUAAGUAGCGAAGUUAGUGACGUCACACUGCCGAGAAAAGCUUCUAGCGAUGUAUCAUACUCUACCCGUACCGCAAACCGACACAGGUAGUCGAGGCGAGUAGCCUCAGGUGAGCGAGAGAACUCUCGUUAAGGAACUCGGCAAAAUGACCCCGUAACUUCGGGAGAAGGGGUGCUGGCUUAAAGUCAGCCGCAGUGAAUAGGCCCAAGCAACUGUUUAUCAAAAACACAGCUCUCUGCUAAAUCGUAAGAUGAUGUAUAGGGGGUGACGCCUGCCCGGUGCUGGAAGGUUAAGAGGAGGGUUUAGCGCAAGCGAAGAUCUGAAUUGAAGCCCCAGUAAACGGCGGCCGUAACUAUAACGGUCCUAAGGUAGCGAAAUUCCUUGUCGGGUAAGUUCCGACCCGCACGAAAGGCGUAAUGAUUUGGGCACUGUCUCAACGAGAGACUCGGUGAAAUUUUAGUACCUGUGAAGAUGCAGGUUACCCGCGACAGGACGGAAAGACCCCAUGGAGCUUUACUGCAGUUUGAUAUUGAGUAUCUGUACCACAUGUACAGGAUAGGUAGGAGCCUACGAAGUCGGGACGCCAGUUUCGACUGAGGCGCUGUUGGGAUACUACCCUUGUGUUAUGGCUACUCUAACCCGGAUAGGUUAUCCCUAUCGGAGACAGUGUCUGACGGGCAGUUUGACUGGGGCGGUCGCCUCCUAAAAGGUAACGGAGGCGCCCAAAGGUUCCCUCAGAAUGGUUGGAAAUCAUUCGCAGAGUGUAAAGGUAUAAGGGAGCUUGACUGCGAGAGCUACAACUCGAGCAGGGACGAAAGUCGGGCUUAGUGAUCCGGUGGUUCCGUAUGGAAGGGCCAUCGCUCAACGGAUAAAAGCUACCCUGGGGAUAACAGGCUUAUCUCCCCCAAGAGUUCACAUCGACGGGGAGGUUUGGCACCUCGAUGUCGGCUCGUCGCAUCCUGGGGCUGUAGUCGGUCCCAAGGGUUGGGCUGUUCGCCCAUUAAAGCGGCACGCGAGCUGGGUUCAGAACGUCGUGAGACAGUUCGGUCCCUAUCCGUCGCGGGCGUAGGAAAUUUGAGAGGAUCUGCUCCUAGUACGAGAGGACCAGAGUGGACUUACCGCUGGUGUACCAGUUGUCUUGCCAAAGGCAUCGCUGGGUAGCUAUGUAGGGACGGGAUAAACGCUGAAAGCAUCUAAGUGUGAAACCCACCUCAAGAUGAGAUUUCCCAUAACUUUAUGUUAGU
rnacentral:rRNA from 1 species